rnacentral:lncRNA from 1 species
CACACUCUCUUUAUUUUCUUUUUAUGUUUAUAGAAUGCAGUGAUUUAAAGCAAGAAAAUAUUUAUUGGGUUUUCUAGGUUUUUCUCUUUCAGAUAAGAUACUAAAAUAGAAAAGAAUAAAUAAGAAAAGCAAAUAAAAACUUACUUGAUAAAACAGGGAGGAACUCCCACAAGCUGGAUGUUGUUGUCGGUCUUACCCAAUGUUCCAGAAUCGCAUCAUGGUGGUGAUGUUGUCAUUCAUUGUCGUGGUGUCUUGUCUUAGUUCUUGUACUGCAGUGGCAUGGUCCUGGUUCCAUUUUUGUUGCUGUUCUAGGAGUCUUCCAUGUUCCGCUUGCGUAUUCUGGAUGUCGAGGAGGGUGUUUUCGGUACGGGUGAAGAAAGCACCGGCCUCUUGGUAGUAGUCGUUCGUGAAAGCAUAAGAGGCAUCGGAGUAUCGUCCUGCAUCGAAUUGGGGCGA